AUUGAACGCUGGCGGCAUGCCUUACACAUGCAAGUCGAACGGCAACACCACUUCGGUGUCCGCCUACUGGCGGCCGGGUGCGUACUACUUCGGAACGUAUCUAGUACUACUGGUUCACUGCUCGUAACGGUAGCUAAUACCGCAUGAGAUCUAAUACUGACAACGGGUGACCUCCGGGCCUUUCGCUACUUUAGCGGCUGAUGGCAGAUUAGGUAGUUGGUGGGAUAAAGGCUUACCAAGCCGACGAUCUGUAGCUGGUCUGAGAGGAUGAGCAGCCACACUGGAACUGAGACACGGUCCAGACUCCUACGGGAGGCAGCAGUGGGGAAUUUUGGACAAUGGGCGCAAGCCUGAUCCAGCAAUGCCGCGUGCGUGAUGAAGGCCUUCGGGUUGUAAACUGCUUUUGUUGGGAAAGAAAAGCCGUCUUCUAAUACAGGAGGGUCAUGACGGUACCGUAAGAAUAAGCACCGGCUAACUACGUG
rnacentral:rRNA from 1 species